UCAAACCCAUUGUGUGCUGUCCGUUUACU
rnacentral:piRNA from 1 species